CGCAAAGAGGAGUAUGUGGGGCUGUUUCCUGCCUCGUCCCUUUCUGCGCGGCCGUUUGGGGAUGACCGAGUCUUAGGCUGGCCGGGGAAGAGGGGUGCCCGCGGCAGCAGGCGGUGCCCGGGCCCGUGUGGAGAGGCAGCGGGAAGCCGGGGCUCUGGGCAGGCCGCGGCGCUGCCCGCCGGGCCGUGGGCCCUCGGUGGGGGCGGAGGGCAGCAGCGGCCAGCGUGAGCUGUGGCGUGGGUUUGGGAAGUCACCUGUGAUCCUUUGGGUUGCUGCGGGGCAAACGGGCCGGUGCCUGCGUACCAGCUGCUCCGUGCAGAGCUUUCACUACCACAAUAUUACUACAUAAGACAUGAGUGAGCCCUGUGAACAUGAUUACAUCUCAAAUGAGGAAGUCUAGAGGAAGCCUCUCCAACAGUCCUGGCUGAAAGGAUGCCUAAAGCAGUGAUCAAAGAUGCAAUCUUGUGCCGUGUUUGAGAUGUUGUGUUUAAUAAAUAAACAGCUUUGCCUUGAAGAAAGACCAGUUCUAUCAACAGCUUCUCCUAAAGUGUACAAACUGCAUUAUCGUAGAUACUGGCUAACUGCUUGGAUCAAAAAGAGGACACUCGGAGGAAGCAGAGGACGUCUACAGUGAGCGGAGGAGGCAGUUAGAAUCAAAGCACAGCUCACAAGAAAUAGACAAUAACCCUUUGAGAAUAUUUUACUGCAUAAAAAUCUUGCUGGAUUGUGAUGCACCGAGAAUACAAUGUCUGUAUGUUUAAUGAAGUAAUAGCCCAGUUGUCCUCUCCCUGAAGUUAAUAAAAAUUAACUUGA